CUUAAAUUCAAUGUUUUCUGCAAUUGAGUUGCAUUCUUCCUUGCCCUUGGUUGUGAUCUCGAUUUGCAUGCAGGGGAUAGCCUUCGUGGUGUGGUCAACCGAGCUGUGCAGGGUUGAUAGCCAAAGGAGAAGUGGUGCUUCGAUUGCGGGUUUCGGAUCUUGCUAAUUAGAAGCCGGAUCGAGUGUGUUGUUUCUCCACUAUAUCAAGAGUUACCCUCACCUGACGGAAGAUCGGGCACCCUAGUUCCCAUCAAGUGGUAGUACCGACUUACCCUAGUUUAGUUUGUUUUCACCUUCAUCCAACAAUCCAUGAAAAAUCCAAAAAAAAAUCGUAGUCAUAUUUUCGUGUCCUACAACCUUUUGCUUAACCUUUGCACAAUUUGGAUUCGGAGUCCGCAGUUCUGAGUUUGUGUCCUUAGGUCGAGUCUGGUUGCUAGUUUAGAUUGUUCCUGUUUUGUUUUUGUUUCAUCAAUCCGUCCGCUGCCAUCCCCAUCCACAAUACCCCCCCGGAAAUCCACUCAAAACCCUGAUUCAGAGGUGCUUUCUUAAAAUGGCCAUAACUUUUCGCUAUAGUCUUGAAAUCAGGCAAUUUUUUU
rnacentral:lncRNA from 1 species